UUAAUGAGGGGAACUCAGGGAACUGAAACAUCUAAGUACCUGAAGGAAGAGAAAGAAAUUCGAUUCCGUAAGUAGCGGCGAGCGAACGCGGAUUAGCCCAAACCAAUAAAGUUUUCUUUAUUGGGGUUGCGGACAUAUCAUAACGAAGAGGUAUCGUAAUUGAAGAGGUUUGGAAAGACCCACCACAGAAGGUAAUAGUCCUGUAUGUUAAACGAGAAGACUUUAGAUAUGAUCCAGAGUACCACGGGACACGUGAAACCCUGUGGGAAGCAGGAGGGACCACCCUCCAAGGCUAAAUACUACCUAGUGACCGAUAGCGUAUAGUACCGUGAGGGAAAGGUGAAAAGAACCCCGGGAGGGGAGUGAAAUAGAACCUGAAACCCUGCACUUACAAGCUGUGGAAGCACAUUUCUUGUGUGACCGCGUACUUUUUGUAGAACGGGCCAACGAGUUACGUUAAGUAGCAAGGUUAAGCACUUAAGGUGCGGAGCCGUAGCGAAAGCGAGUUUUAACUGAGCGUUCAGUUACUUGACGUAGACCCGAAACCGGGCGACCUACCCAUGAGCAGGAUGAAGCGAAAGUAAAAUUUCGUGGAGGUCCGAACCCACGAGCGUUGAAAAGCUCGGGGAUGACUUGUGGGUAGCGGUGAAAUUCCAAUCGAGCCCGGAGAUAGCUGGUUCUCCCCGAAAUAGCUUUAGGGCUAGCCUCAAGGUGAGAGAUACGGAGGUAGAGCACUGAAUGUCCUAGGGGGUAUUGCACCUACCGAAGACUAUCAAACUCCGAAUGCCGUCAUCUUAUACUUGGGAGUCAGACUGUGGGUGAUAAGAUUCAUAGUCGAAAGGGCAACAGCCCAGAUCGUCAGCUAAGGUCCCUAAAUGUAAGUUAAGUGGUAAAGGAUGUGGGAUUGCACAGACAACCAGGAUGUUGGCUUAGAAGCAGCCACUCAUUCAAAGAGUGCGUAAUAGCUCACUGGUCGAGUGAUCCUGCGCCGAAGAUUUCCGGGGCUAAAACUUACUACCGAAGCUACGGCAUCAGUAAUGAUGGGUAGGGGAGCUUCCCAUACGGGUUGAAGCAUGACCGUAAGGACAUGUGGACAGUAUGGGAGUGAGAAUGUUGGC
rnacentral:rRNA from 1 species